rnacentral:rRNA from 1 species
UACGUAGGUGGCGAGCGUUGUCCGGAAUUACUGGGUGUAAAGGGCGUGCAGGCGGGUUUAUAAGUCAGAUGUGAAAUACCCAGGCUUAACUUGGGGGGUGCAUCUGAAACUAUUGAUCUUGAGUGCUGGAGAGGGAAGCGGAAUUCCUAGUGUAGCGGUGAAAUGCGUAGAUAUUAGGAGGAACACCAGUGGCGAAGGCGGCUUUCUGGACAGUAACUGACGCUGAGGCGCGAAAGCGUGGGGAG